UCAGGAUUCGCAGAAAAUGCUAUGGAGAUUGCAGGGGAUAUUGUUGAAGCAUCGGGAGGUAGAGGCUCACCCGUUUGUGUCAUAGCUGAAGAAGCCUAAUCCAGCCAACCACUAUUAGAAUGUUUUCAGAGAGACAUCUUCUGGCUUUAGGUCUUCUUAUUUUCACCGUAGAGUCAGGAAAAGACGUGUCUUUACUGAUUUCAAGUUUGCAUCAGAUACGUCAGCUGUCAAAAAACCCUUUCCUGGUGAUAAUUGGAAAUGAUACUGAGCAUCAGUUAUCAAUUGUCGAAUCCUUAUUUCGUGAAAACCUCCUCGUAUGGCCAACAAAACUUCUGUUGAUCACAAAUCGUCAUCAAAAGAGGAUAAACCAAGAUCAGAAGACAAUUCUUUCUAAAGCCAAUGCCAUGGUACUUAAUCCAGCUAAAGAAGACCUCAGCAGGUGGGGUUUCCACAUCAUUUUACCAUUCAGUUACCGAUUUGUGAAAAUCGCUUCUUGGACACCACAUGAAAGGCUCGUUACCUCUCCAGGCCAGCAAUUAUUCCCGGAUAAGUUCAUGAG